rnacentral:rRNA from 1 species
UACGUAGGGGGCUAGCGUUGUCCGGAUUUAUUGGGCGUAAAGAGCGUGUAGGCGGCCAGGUAGGUCUGCUGUGAAAACUCGAGGCUCAACCUCGAGAUGUCGGCGGAAACCAUCUGGCUAGAGUCCGGAAGAGGAGAGUGGAAUUCCCGGUGUAGCGGUGAAAUGCGCAGAUAUCAGGAAGAACACCAAUGGCGAAGGCGGCUCACUGGUCCGGUACUGACGCUGAGGUGCGAAAGCGUGGGGAGCAAACAGG